CAGGGAAUUUUGCACAAUGGGCGCAAGCCUGAUGCAGCGACGCCGCGUGGGGGAUGAAUGCCUUCGGGUUGUAAACCCCUUUCAGGAGGGACGAAGCGAAAGUGACGGUACCUCCAGAAGAAGCCCCGGCCAACUACGUGCCAGCAGCCGCGGUAAUACGUAGGGGGCGAGCGUUGUCCGGAUUUAUUGGGCGUAAAGAGCUCGUAGGCGGCUCAGCAAGUCGGCCGUGAAAGCCUGAGGCUCAACCUCAGGACGCCGGUCGAAACUGCUGUGGCUAGGGUCCGGUAGAGGAGAGUGGAAUUCCCGGUGUAGCGGUGAAAUGCGCAGAUAUCGGGAGGAACACCAGUAGCGAAGGCGGCUCUCUGGGCCGGUACCGACGCUGAGGAGCGAAAGCUAGGGGAGCAAACAGG
rnacentral:rRNA from 1 species